AAGGGCUCCAUCUUCUGGUCAAAAUCUAGAAUUACCGUUGGUAGGUUCCUUCUAAAGUUGUGAGUGUUGUUUAGAUUCAUUCUCCCUUGAGUCUCAGAGGGGUGAAAUGUCAAAGGUAUGUUUAAGUAAUAAGAAAUCUAGGUUUUUAAUAUAAUUUUUGUGUUUUUAUAUUUUUUAUAUUUUUAUAUUUCAGGUGAUCGGGUUCCCAAAAGAAAGGGGAAUUUUUUGGAGGAGAAAUACAAAUUCUUUCAGAGGAUUUUCCUUGGACAUCUGAAGCCUUGAUUGACCCUGGAACACAUCAUCAGUAGUGGACCUCGGGAUCCUUGAGUGUUUCGGCCAUUAUCACUAGACACUCUCACCCGAGGGAGGCCCCGCCGGGAUUGAUCACUUCCCGGGGUGUGUUCCUUAAUUAGUAGGUUUUAAUAUUAAAAUCUACUUUUUUGCUUCUUUUUGUCUUUUUUUCUUUUGUCCUUAAGACUUGUUCAAUGAUUUUAGUGUUAUAUUGGUUUUCUUUAAAUCUAAAGGUUUGGAUUAGAGUUGUUUAUUGUCAUUUUGUUGUUGUUAUCCUCCUUUGUUGUUAUUAUUAUUAUUAUUGUUAGUAUUAUUAAAAGAAAGGGAGGGAAGGGGGCUUUUUUUGUUUUGCUUGAGUCUUCCUCUUGUUGUUAAGUAACAGAGAUUUUAGUUGAUAUUAUUUUCCCUCUACAGUUCAGUUUCAGUGGUCAAGUUGGAAGUUAAUUUGUAGUUUUAGUUUUCCAUCAGUUUUGAGGUUUCUUCUGGGAUUUUAAUAUUAAAAUCUACUUUUUUGUUUCUUUUUGUCUUUUUUUUCUUUUGUCCUU